rnacentral:rRNA from 1 species
GGACUACUGGGGUUUCUAAUCCUGUUUGCUCCCCACGCUUUCGCGCCUCAGCGUCAGUUACAGCCCAGAAAGUCGCCUUCGCCACUGGUGUUCCUCCACAUCUCUACGCAUUUCACCGCUACACGUGGAAUUCCACUUUCCUCUUCUGUACUCAAGCUUUGCAGUUUCCAUUGCGACUCGGGGUUGAGCCCCGAGUUUAAACAACAGACUUACAAGGCCGCCUGCGCGCGCUUUACGCCCAAUAAUUCCGGACAACGCUUGCCCCCUACGUAUUACCGCGGCUGCUGGCAC